UGCUGUUCUCAUGAUAGUGAAUAAGUCUCACAAGAUCUCAUGGUUUUAAAAAGGGGAGUUCCCUGCACAAGCUCUCUUCUCUUGUCUGCCACCAUGUGAGAUAUGCCUUUCACUUUCUGCCACGAUUGUGAGGCCUCUCAAGCCACGUGGAACUGUCACGAAAUCAAGGCCAUGAUGAUUAAAUGGCAACCAAGGUCACACAACUAGUUAGUGGUAAGCCAAAGUGAGAAGACAGGUUUCCUGAGAGAGAGGCUAGAAGAUAAGCUCUGCACCACUCUGCCUGGAUUAGAGAUCCUGUUACGCCAACUUUACACUGUCUCCUGUGGGACUUUUCCACACCUGGUCCAGCCUAACUCUCCAGUCUCUUCAGAGCUUAAAAUAGUCCAGUUGCCAGACAACUGUUUAUCUACUUUGAGCCCCAUGGAACGAGGAGUGGGGUGAAAGUGAGUCUUGGAAAACAGAAUAGAUUCCGCCAACCUUCCAGCCAGAGGAGGCCUCGUGACCCAGUUCUACCCAAACAGACCCAAACAGAAGCACCUGACAAGAAAGUGGUUAUGUUUCUAGAGCUGCAUCAGCUAUUUAUAACCAUGAUGGCAAGUCCCAGAGAACUGGUCUUGCCAUCACUGAGCAGUUGAACCAAUACCAGCAUCACCAACUUUCCUGUAUAUGAGAAAAAUAAACUCUAUUUCUUUUAGCCACU
rnacentral:lncRNA from 1 species